AACACCACUAGUCUCAGUGCCUCUCUCCACAACACCACUAGCCUCAGUGCCUCUCUCCACAACACCACUAGCCUCAGUGCCUCUCUCCACAACACCACUAGCCUCAGUGCCUCUCUCCACAACACCAUUACACUCUGAAAGUGCAGAAAAUGAAUUAUGAAGAGCAACAGACUGUGCAAAAUGCAUUUUAUCCACAACUCUUAAGUCUACCAGAUCCU